rnacentral:lncRNA from 1 species
AGAUAGGUAACCAGUCGUCUGUAAAGGAUCAAUAUAGUUGGGGUGCAGAUACAGGCCUUCCCCUAGGGAAACACUUGCAUCAGUAUUAGUGAGAGACCAAGUACACAUCUGAAGCAUUCCUGUGCUUUCUGUCCACUUGUCAGGUGAUGUUGCCACGUAUGACUGUCCAUCAAGCCAGGAGAUGAACCCCCACCGUGAGGCAGUGACUCAAGGUGCAAGGGAGUCCGGCAAGAAGUGUGGCGCACCCGAGUUGCUGCCACUGCUUUUUGGAUCACCCAGCACGGUCUUCUGAAGUCUUCGUGAAAGCAUCCCUGGUGAUCUGUGAGCCCUUGGUCGUGUUGCCCGCCUUCUUCCUGUGGGUCUUGCUGGAUGCUCAUGGUCCCUGUGAGCCGAGGCCCUGGAGGCUUCAGAUUUAGGUGAGUCGCCCUUUGUUGCAUAAUGAAUUCAAUUUGGACCAAGCCCUGCAUUAUGAGAGCUUUCUCUAGGGUGUGGUCAGUACCCCAGGGCCCUGCAGGCUGUAGA